CGGUAAGUAAUAUACGAUUCCAUUCCCUUUCCUUACUUUGGAUUAUGUUGUUGUUGUUUGAUUGUUCAACAAGAACUCAAAAGGAUUAUCAUAUUCUAAACCUAUUGUAGUUCCAAUCGUACCUUUCUGUUAUUGCAUCACGUUCACGCAUCAUAUGUUUGAAGUUAAUCACGAUUGAGCCUGCUACUCCCUGAUACUUUCGAUCGCACUUCUGAUCGCUGCUUCCCCGGUGUCACACACACUCAGGUGACUAAAUUACCCCUUGGAAAUAAACUACGUAGGCUCACCAUUCACCAAAUUUGUGGGAUUAGUUCGCCUUCUCCCUCUGUUCAACAUUGAAUUUUGGAGCUAUGUUCCACCCACACAUUGCAUACUGGAUCUGUAGGCAGAGUAUUCAAUCAUCUGUAAUGCAAAUUCCUAUUUUAGGGUUCCUAGUUUCAAAUUUUCAAAUUCUUUUUACAAUUAACAUAGUAAUGUUGUAUUUAAUAGAUUAGUUAUGUUGGAUUUGAGCUACAAUCAAGGUAAUCCUAGAAAGAUUGGGUAAUCCUAGUCGAUGAACAUUUAGAUUAUACUUCAACCUUCACAUGAGAAAACAAAGAUUUACUCAAAAGUCAAUGAAAUCUUUUCUAUAAAGAUUGGGUAAUCCUUGUCGGCUAAUAUAUAUAUGUGUGUUAUAACACAAGACAUGAGGACUAUAAAGCUACAACUUUUGAGUUCUUGUUGAACAAUCAAACAACAACAUAAUCGAAAUUAAGGAAAGGGAAUGGAAUCACAUAUUACUUACCUGAUGUGUGUUUGUGUGUGCGCGACAACAGGGCACGAUCAGAAGCAACAACGAUUGAUUGGAAGCUGUGAUUGUAGGCAGCUAUCGGAAGUAUCAGGCAGGAAGGCUCGAUUGUGACGGGGAGAAAACGUGAUAUGUUAGGCUUUAGCAAGCAGGGGCAAUAUUGUACAUUCAAAUUGUAUUUUAAUUAUAAUGAUUUAAUAUUAUGAAAAACAAUUAUAAAUCAAUAAA
rnacentral:lncRNA from 1 species